CUUCCUACGGGGGGCAGCAGUGGGGGAUAUUGGACAAUGGGGGAAACCCUGAUCCAGCGAUGCCGCGUGAGGGAAGACGGUCCUAUGGAUUGUAAACCUCUUUUGCCGGGGAGCAAAAAGCGGUACGUGUACCGCAUCGAGAGUAUCCGGAGAAAAAGCAUCGGCUAACUCCGUGCCAGCAGCCGCGGUAAUACGGAGGAUGCGAGCGUUAUCCGGAUUUAUUGGGUUUAAAGGGUGCGCAGGCGGCGAGUUAAGUCAGCGGUAAAAUUUCGGGGCUCAACCCCGACGAGCCGUUGAAACUGGCU
rnacentral:rRNA from 1 species